AGUGAACGCUGGCGGUAGGCCUAACACAUGCAAGUCGAACGGCAGCACAGUAAGAGCUUGCUCUUACGGGUGGCGAGUGGCGGACGGGUGAGGAAUACAUCGGAAUCUACUUUUUCGUGGGGGAUAACGUAGGGAAACUUACGCUAAUACCGCAUACGACCUACGGGUGAAAGCAGGGGAUCUUCGGACCUUGCGCGAUUGAAUGAGCCGAUGUCGGAUUAGCUAGUUGGCGGGGUAAAGGCCCACCAAGGCGACGAUCCGUAGCUGGUCUGAGAGGAUGAUCAGCCACACUGGAACUGAGACACGGUCAAGACUCCUACGGGAGGCAGCAGUGGGGAAUAUUGGACAAUGGGCGCAAGCCUGAUCCAGCCAUACCGAGUGGGUGAAGAAGGCCUUCGGGUUGUAAAGACCUUUUGUUGGGAAAGAAAAGCAGCAGGUUAAUACCCCGCUGUUCUGACGGUACCCAAAGAAUAAGCACCGGCUAACUUCGUG
rnacentral:rRNA from 1 species